AAAGCCAGUUGAAAGUUAUGGACCAGCAGAACUUUAACAAAUUUAUACAAGCUUUUUCUAGGGACACCGGUGCUAUGCAAUUUCUGGAAAAUUAUGAAAAAGAAGACAUAACAGUAGCAGAACUGGAAGGAAACUCAAAUUCUUUGUGGACCAUCAGCCCACCCAGUAAGCAGAAAAUGAUACACGAACUCCUGGACCCCAAUAGUAGCUUCUCUGUUGUUUUUUCAUGGAGUAUUCAGAGAAACUUAAGUCUGGGUGCAAAAUCGGAAAUAGCAACAGAUAAGCUUUCUUUUCCUCUUAAAAAUAUUACUCGAAAGAAUAUCGCUAAAAUGAUAGCGGGCAACAGCACAGAAAGUUCAAAAACACCAGUGUAAGUGUAUUUUUCCUACUAAUAGAGCUUUGUUAGGUAUAUGCAGCUGGUACAAAAUGUCCAUCUACAGAUUCAUGUGUAUGAGGAAUGCAACUUCAUUCUUUGGUAACACAAAGUUAAUUUCUAUUUGGAGGCCCCAUUUUGCAAGAUUAAAGAAACUUAAUCUCAGCUAUGGAGUUUUCUGUCCACUGUCCCCAGGAUUAUGUCUAUGUUCCAAAUGAGGGUUUGG
rnacentral:sRNA from 1 species